CUCACUAGGCUCCCCUCUUCCAGCCAACAGAAAAGCUGUCGUCCCCCGGGGUCCUUGGUUGUUGUUUUCAGAACAGAGCCAAGGACCCCCCUGCCAUUUCAGCUCUUCACCGUCGCCCUCUACCCACAGCACCGAUCUUCCCCUCAGCCACAGCCUCUCCUUUCAUAGCCGAACACCAUAACAGCCGCCUCCAGCAUUUCCUUCAUUCAGCAACAGCACCAGCACCAGCACCGACACCCACUAGAUCUGCCAAGAGGAGUGAAGAUCGGACAGCCAUCCCCUCUCCAUCGCAGCUUCACCCGGCUGACCACAUAGAACCGCCACGCCCACAGCCACCGAGACACAGUCGCCUGAUCUGCCACCUUAGGAAGGGAGAAAACAGAAGUGAAGCAGAUUUGAAAAAGGAGAAGAUCGAAACAGAUCCGAAAAAAGAAAGAAAAAUUAAAAUCAACUGCCUGUGGUGUGUUCGGUUGCUUUGCAGGUCACCGCCGGCGUAGGGAGACUGAGAAGAAGAAGUCGAUCCAGACACCCCCUGUUGCUUGGUUUUUCUGUGGCGGCGCGUGAACCCACGCGCCGCCAGUGGUGGUGGCACGUGGGAAGACGCGCCGCCACUGUUCCUGCAUAUUCCAGAAGCCUUUGGAUAUUUUAGGGGCUGUUUUUGUAAUUUUAAAUUGUUUGAUGUAAUUUUAUUUUUAGUAUUGAAUUUUUAUUUUUUGUAUUGCGGAUGUAAAAGAAAAGAAAUGAAAAGAAAAGAAAGAAAAUAAUAAUAGAAAAAGAGAUAUGUGUGUGUUUGUGUAUUUUUUUAUGUAUGUUAUUGAAAUAAAAAAAAAGAAUGAAUUUAAUAUUUUAAUUUAUAUGCACAAAUAUCUAAAGGACAGAUAAAAAUCAUGUUGUAUUUUCCAUAAAAAUGUAG
rnacentral:lncRNA from 1 species